AAAAAGUGGUUUAUUUCCAGAGUUUGAAAUCUGAAGAAAUCUGAGCGAAGGACGAAUUUCCUACCCUCAAACAAGUCUAACUCAUUUCAGAACGGUAAUAGGUGAGAAAAAAAUUCUUGAAUUGUGAGCGUCAGGAGUGUCUGAAGAUAUACUGGGACAAGCCUCAUGUUUUAACUUCGCUUCGUUAAGGAUAUAUGACGAUUCGAAUAUGCCUCUCAUUACAGAAAUCAAGCGGUGAUUUUGAACAAACUCUCCAUUGACUUUCUAUGGAGAGUUUUCAGACUUCGUGUUGGUCUGAGGAAAUUUGCCAAAAUUCUAUAAAUCUCACAACAAUGAUUGUGACAUUUUC
ensembl:lncRNA